rnacentral:lncRNA from 1 species
CCUCAAGGUGACUUAGGGAGGCAUCAGCCACACCCCAGCCUGGGCAGCCUCAGCUAAGAGUCAUCAUGUGUGGAUACACCAAGGCUGCUACCACCCUGGCAUGUCCGUCUGCUGACCACUUGGCACCCAGUCUUGGUAGCUUUGAGUCAUUCCCAGGCAGCUUGUCAGGGAGAUGUCUGGUGGCUGCGGAGGCACAUCAGGUGGAGGACACAGAAACACUUCCAGAACCAGACCCUCCCUUGGGUAGAAGGGCAAGAGCCCUUUGUAAAGGAGGCACAGAACUGUGGCAGGCAGCAGCUGGUUACUGGAGCAGCCGAAUUGUGUGAUGUUUUCAUUUAGGCAUGUAUCAUUUAAAAGGGAAAUUAUUUUCCUAAGUGCUACUCCGCUGGUUUUUAUAAAGCAAAUCUCACACUGAGCAGUGGUCUUCUCUGACAGUCAGGAAAACUUAGACGAGUUGGUGCUAUGGAAAGUCCGCUUUUCCAAUGCCACGGGAACUACACUGGCCUCAGCAUCUUCACGUGGUGACAGAUUUGUCUGCUUACAGUGACCCCAUGGCCACUGUCAUCCUGUGAGGGACACAGCAGCCCAGAUGAAAGGGCUGGAAUGCCAGUAACUCACAGCACUUUGCGGUCAACCUUAAAAUAGUUACCUUGAAAUAAAACCAUCUGGAAACGUCAAAAAGCUUCAGUUGUCC